GAUGAACGCUGACAGAAUGCUUAACACAUGCAAGUCGACUUGAACUUCGGUUUGGGUGGCGGACGGGUGAGUCACGCGUAAAGAACUUGCCUCACAGUUAGGGACAACAUUUGGAAACGAAUGCUAAUACCUGAUAUUAUGAUUUUAGGGCAUCCUAGAAUUAUGAAAGCUAUCUGCGCUGUGAGAGAGCUUUGCGUCCCAUUAGCUAGUUGAAGAGGUAACGGCUCACCAAGGCGAUGAUGGGUAGCCGGCCUGAGAGGGUGAACGGCCACAAGGGGACUGAGACACGGCCCGUACUCCUACGGGAGGCAGCAGUGGGGAAUAUUGGACAAUGGACCAAGAGUCUGAUCCAGCAAUUCGGUGUGCAAGAUGAAGUUUUUCGGAAUGUAAAGUGCUUUCAGUUGGGAAGAAAAAAAUGACGGUACCAACAGAAGAAGUGACGGCUAAAUACGUG
rnacentral:rRNA from 1 species